CCUUUGGCGUGCACUAGAACUUGUGAGUAGCUGCUGAACUUUCAGAGCAAAAACAUGCACGAUGAAUAAGGAA
rnacentral:ncRNA from 1 species